rnacentral:rRNA from 1 species
AACGAACGCUGGCGGCAUGCCUAACACAUGCAAGUCGAACGAGACCUUCGGGUCUAGUGGCGCACGGGUGCGUAACACGUGGGAAUCUGCCCUUUGCUUCGGAAUAACAGUUAGAAAUGACUGCUAAUACCGGAUGAUGUCGAAAGACCAAAGAUUUAUCGGCAAAGGAUGAGCCCGCGUAGGAUUAGGCAGUUGGUGGGGUAAAGGCCUACCAAGCCGACGAUCCUUAGCUGGUCUGAGAGGAUGAUCAGCCACACUGGGACUGAGACACGGCCCAGACUCCGACGGGAGGCAGCAGUGGGGAAUAUUGGACAAGGGGCGAAAGCCUGAUCCAGCAAUGCCGCGUGAGUGAUGAAGGCCUUAGGGGUGUAAAGCUCUUUUACCAGGGAUGAUAAUGACAGUACCGGGAGAAUAAGCUCCGGCUAACUCCG